CCUUUUAAUUUACAAUCGCUGAGAUUGCCUGUGACAAGCUUUGAUGGGAGGUAGAUAAGCAAUAUUUUACUCUGUUUGAAAUUAUUAAUUACUGGGAUCUGAGUUUGGUCUGUGUGUCACUAAAGGUACUUCUAAUGGUCAGAAAUCAUGUUUAUUUUAGGGAUAGAUUUUUCUCUCCUACGUCCUUCACACUCCAGCCCAAUCAGUGGCGGUAACGCUGUCACAUUCCGCUGUCGAAGCCGCUGGAUAUCGGAAGUUGGAUGACAACUAUAUCUCGCUAGUUUGUAACCCCUCGUAGUUCCUAAAUAGUUUUAUAUGAUUGUGUAUAUGAUAUUCACCACGUCACUGUAACCAUCACUGUUCAAUUGUUUUUUGAUUUUCCUUUGCCGCGGAAAGGGUUAGGUUAGCGUUAGAAUUAAACUUCCAUAGUAACACGAGCACCUCUAUAAGGAUAAGCUUUUCUAGCUUUGCGGAGACCCAACGAAUCUAGUGAAACCAUGGGCAACCGGGGAUGGAGGAAUUGAUCCCCCCGAUCAAUCAACUUCAGGAUGCUUUCAGCUCAAUCGAACAGAGUUGUAACUAGGACCUGCCCCAGAUAGCCGUGGUCGGUGGACAGAGCGCUGGGAAAAGCUCUGUUUAGGAAAACUUCGUUGGCAGCUGACACUGCUAGCUAGUAAGCUAACGUAUGAAAAUAGAAACGAAGCGGUUCAGACCAUAGACAUAUAUGUUAUGUAUAUAUGUCUAUGGUUCAGACCUUAUGUGAUGGUUGGAGAAUGACAACGGAGACGGAUACUAGCGUGAUUUCUGGCACUAUGAGUCGUGAGCUCCCAAUGUAGUUACCUUUUUGUGAUCAAAUGCUCCUUCUGUACGUGCCACAACAAGUUGUAUUUAUCAGAAUUGUCGUCAACUACCGUUCACGGCGUUGUUGCAGUGGUAGUCGUUCGGAAACUUUUUAUGUUCAGUAUGAGUUUUGAGUGACUUGUUGUCAUUGUGUAACAAGUGGAAGCCUUUCGUGAACACUACACAAUUCACAACGUUGAACUUAAAUGAAGUAGUAUAUAUCUAUUUAUAUACUGCUAUUUACAUGACACCUCUUAAGUUAAAUCAGGAAGUGGGUUGCGUUUAACUGAAACUGGGUUUUUAUCCUUGAGGUAUUGUUUGUGUUUCUGCACAGACAUUUCGACCGUGAAUUCUACUGAUAAGUAAGCCACUCGUUGGUCAGCUGGUACUUUAAUGGUGAUGCGCGCAGGUAAACUCAGGUGUGGACCGCUUUGGACUAUUUAUAACCUGAAGCCACGCCUAGACGAGCCAGGAGGCUAUCUUCCCUAUGUCCUGCUUUUGAGAUUGAGUGAAAAGCAUGGCUAAUAUGAGAUGGAUGACAACAUAUUGUUGCCUCAGACACUUCUGCAGAUCAGACUUCCUACACCAUUUCCUUCCCUAAAAAGAAAAUGUACUUACAAUGAAAGUUAAGCUAAGUUUCAAGUCCAUAUCUUCUUUAAGCUUUUGAUUCCAAUUGACAGUAGUUGACAGUUUUUAGUUUCAACUUGUAGUUUGAGUAUGCAUACAAUGCAUUCUGAGUAUUUGUCUGGAGUAAUUUAAAUGCAUUUGCUUGCCAUUUUUUCAGUCUUGAAAAUGUAAACAAUGCAUUAAAACACAUGGGAAAAUAGACAAGCAAGUUUCAGAAACUGCACAAGGAUAUUGGUAAACUUUUUCAUGUCUCCAUAAAACACAAACAUGUCCUCAAAAUUACAGCAUCAGACACAUUCUGAGUAUUUGUCUGGAGUAAUUUUAAUGCAUUUGCUUGACAUUUUUUUUUUCAGUCUUAAAUGUAUACAAUGCAUUAAAACACAUGGAAACAUUUGUCAUUGUUUUGCACAUUUUGAAAAUGCUUUUGCUCUAAAAAACAUCUAGGUAUCUAUUCAUAUGUAAGUCAUGACAUGCAAAUGGUUUAAACCAGUAAUCAUUAUGUGUCAACCAUAUGCUUCAUCAGUUUCAGUGACAUUGUGUUUUUGGUAUGGUACAGAUUGGCAUUUUUUUAACGUUUGCUAAAUAAUUGUUGUGUGUUUCUUUUCUCCCUCAGGUUUACCUAGAGAGAGGUACAACUGGGCAUCAUAGCAAAAUACAGGGACUGUCAGUAGCCCAUGCCUGUCUCAACAAUAGCGUGGUUACAGCUGCAAUAUCAGUGGUACACUGUCCUAUGGUGUCCUUGACAUCGCCAAAACUAAGUAGUCUCUGCAGAACUUAACAGAUCAGGACUCAAUGAACUUCAGCAUGCAGAUAUCCCGCAGCUAAAGACUGGCACCUAUCUUCCUGCCAUCACCUGAAGACUGGCACCUAUCUUCCUGCCAUCACUAGACAAUUAAUUUCUCACAACCAAAUUAACAAUGUAAAAAAAUAUUACAGCAUGGGCAAUCAUUCCUGCUUGCAGAUUGUGAAAAAAUGCAUUGCAGUGAGUGCUGCAGAUCACAGACAGCGUUCCACUGUAAGUAGUUUCUAUUUCAACUCUCUGUUCUGGCAACCUACCAGUAUCUAUUUUUGUUUUGUAAAGUUCACAGUUUUGUUUUCUUUUUUUUCUUUACAGGUGAUAGCAUUUUUUCUUGAGCUAAAAGAUUGGUGGAGAUGCAGUCUGAGUAUGAUCAGUCAGGAACCAGGCUUUAAUCUUGUACAGUGAUGCGCAUCAAGGGAGAUAGACAGAGGUUUCACUCAAAAGCUUCACCUAUGUCUCAUCUGGUCUGCCAUUGUAACACUUCAGUUUUUAUAUCCUACAUAGCAUAAGGGGUGUCACCCCAUAGCCCCAUCCCUCCAUAAAUAUGUAUCAGUCUGUGAAGGAACCGGAAUUAAGAUAUUUAUUGUUAAUAAGUAUAUGCCAUAGUCAAUAAUUCAAUGUAUCUUAUACCUAGUUAUAAUUGUUACUUGUAUUUGGGACUUAAGUUAAAAUGUAAUCAUUUCUGUUUAGAGAAGAGUUAUCUUGAGGGAGUGUAUUGAAUGUGUCAGCAGAUGGCUCAGAGACUUGUGUCUCCAAGAGCUCAUGAAUACUGAGGGUGACGCCCUUGGUUCGCAGAGAGUAUUUAACAAGCCCGCCUUCAAUGGAUAAAUCAGAUAAUCUUAGGUGAAGCUCUGGGCGAGUGGAACUUCAGCUCUGUCUCAACAAUGUGUGGCCACCAUUGUUCAAGAUUAAACCUGAAUCGUGACUGACAAAUCUAAGACUGGAUCUCCAAUAUAUGGUAUAAAAUUAAAUACUAUCAUCGGGAAACUCCACAACAUUUGUCGAUAGGGGAAAUUGAUUAAGAGAUCCAGCUGUGAGCAAAUGUCUCAGAGGCCUGUAUUUAUGGGGGUAAGGAAUAUCAAAAACACUUUGAUAUGACCAAGAGAAGAGGGGUGGUGAGAACACUCAUUCACACCUCUCUCAGGUAAUUUAAUCUUACAGUAUAUUCAACCAGAAACUCUUACAUUUUAACCUAAGUCCAAUUAAAAGCAACAAAUACAAAUGAAUAUAAGAUUCAUUGGAUUAUUGAUUAUUGUUAAUCAUUAUUAACUCUGAUUCUUACAUUUGAUUCUUACACCCCUUUCACAGGACAACACAGCGUUUCACGCCCUCCUCAUAGACGCAUACACGUUGUGGUGUCGUCACUGGAAAACACAUAGUUGUAUUAGCGACAGGGUCUUUAAACUAUUUUAAUGGCAUGAAGUGACAUAUGCACUCAAGACAUAGUCAUCUUGGCCAAUGCCUUUGGGACGUUGUCUUUCCAUCGUAAUGGCAAUAGACAGACACCAGUAACUGGUGUUUUUGUCUGCACAGCAGCAGAGGCCAUAGUCAGGGAUAUUAUCAUGAGCUACUGUGCUAUAUUAAAGUUGCUUGUCAUAAGUGGGGCAUUGUGGUUCUCUCUCCAUUUCCUCCUUUAAAAGCAACACCUGUAAAUAAAUGUUAAAUGUAUUUAUUGAUAGCUCUACUUGUGGCUGUAAUGUGUCCUCAGCUCUCAGUACAUCAUUUCAAUGUCAGAGCAGUUAUGUGUCACUGUCAAGACUAUUCCACAACGUAAAUAGAUUUGUCUCGAAGACAUUCAUUUGAAACAUUUUGGUAACAAUUUCUAUCACCAAGGUUUUCUGUUUUUCUGAAAAACAUUUCUUAAAUAAAGGAAUUUGAACAUGAGA